rnacentral:tRNA from 1 species
GUCUUGGUAGUAUAAAUAUUACACUGGUCUUGUAAACCAGUAAUGAAAAAAACUUUUUCCCAAGACA